rnacentral:rRNA from 1 species
UCCGUAGGUGGAUAAUUAAGUCAGAGGUGAAAGUCUGCAGCUCAACUGUAGAAUUGCCUUUGAUACUGGUUAUCUUGAGUUAUUAUGAAGUAGUUAGAAUAUGUAGUGUAGCGGUGAAAUGCAUAGAUAUUACAUAGAAUACCAAUUGCGAAGGCAGAUUACUAAUAAUUGACUGACACUGAUGGACGAAAGCGUGGGGAGCGAACAGGAUUAGAUACCCUGGUAGUCC